rnacentral:rRNA from 1 species
GACGAACGCUGGCGGCGUGCUUAACACAUGCAAGUCGAGCGGUAAGGCUCCUUCGGGAGUACACGAGCGGCGAACGGGUGAGUAACACGUGAGCAAUCUGCCCUUCUCAUCGGAAUAACCAUUGGAAACGAUGGCUAAUGCCGAAUAUGACCUCGGAUCACAUGUUCUGAGGUGGAAAGCUCCGGCGGAGAAGGAUGAGCUCGCGGCCUAUCAGCUGUUGGUGAGGUAAUAGCUCACCAAGGCGAUGACGGGUAGCCGGCCUGAGAGGGUGACCGGCCACACUGGGACUGAGACACGGCCCAGACUCCUACGGGAGGCAGCAGGUGGGAAUAUUGGACAAGUGGGCGAAAGCCUGAUCCAGCAACGCCGCGUGAGGGAUGACGGCCUUGGUU